rnacentral:misc_RNA from 1 species
CCCCGAUUUCAAAACUCUUUGCACCUCUGACAAAUAUUGGGUCCCCAGCUUAGGGCCAAGCUCUGGCUCCAUCAAAGCAUCCAAUCCACCUUUAUCAAGAAUAGCAUCAAAUGUCUCAUCUGCGAACUGCAUGCUGGUCAUGUCCAUGACGCGCCACCGCAUGCCAGGCCGUCCUCUCACAUUCCUCCUCAGCAUAUCGGAAAUCACAACUUUCGAGAAAUCAAUAUUUGUAAUAUCC